GAUGAACGCUGGCGGCGUGCUUAACACAUGCAAGUCGAACGAAGCACUUUAUUUGAUUUCCUUCGGGACUGAUUAUUUUGUGACUGAGUGGCGGACGGGUGAGUAACGCGUGGGUAACCUGCCUUGUACAGGGGGGAUAACAGUUGGAAACGGCUGCUAAUACCGCAUAAGCGCACAGCAUCGCAUGGUGCAGUGUGAAAAAACUCCGGUGGUAUAAGAUGGACCCGCGUUGGAUUAGCUAGUUGGUGAGGUAACGGCCCACCAAGGCGACGAUCCAUAGCCGACCUGAGAGGGUGACCGGCCACAUUGGGACUGAGACACGGCCCAA
rnacentral:rRNA from 1 species